CGACGAAAUUGUAUACAGACCUUCUCCACUUUUUAAAGGGGUCAGUAGAAUUGAUAACUUUAGGGCAUGUUAACGCCUUAUUAUCAUUGAUUUAACCUGCCGACGAUGUAAAGACGUUUCAACGGCAGCAGCAGAACCAGAACCAGUGGAACUUUCUCUUGCCGAGAGCAUAUCCAGUGUGCUCCGUUCUACACUAGCUGAGUCACCACCAAGGGAUACUCUACCGGUGAUGACCUUCAACCUGGAAUUCAGUAUGGGGUUAGCCGACAUCUGUGUUGAUGAUGGCGUGAUAACUCAACAUACAUCUUCAGACCGGCCGAGGAACACCCCCCAGAAGAGGAACCGGAAGGCGCGUUCGAUGUAACAAGAGUAAAAUACACUUUAUUAUUGAUGCAGAUAUUUAGAUAGGGUUUGUUUAAAAUGCACUUGUUUUCAACUAUGAAUAACAAUAUAUUCAUAA